AUGGCGACCCUGUGGGGAGGCCUUCCUCGACUUGGCUCUUUGCUCAUCCUGUAGUGCCUGGCGCUGUCCGUGCUGCUGCUGGCGCAGCUGUCAGACGCCGCCAAGAAUUUCGAGGAUGUCAGAUGUAAAUGUAUCUGCCCUCCCUAUAAAGAAAAUUCUGGACAUAUUUAUAAUAAGAACAUAUCUCAGAAAGAGUGUGAUUGCCUUCAUGUUGUGGAGCCUAUGCCUGUGCAGGGGCCUGAUGUAGAAGCAUACUGUCUACUCUGUGAAUGCAAAUACAAAGAGAGAAGCUCUGUCACAAUCAAGGUUACCAUUAUAAUUUCUCUCUCCAUUUUGGGCCUUCUACUUCUGUACAUGGUAUAUCUUACUCUGGUUGAGCCCACACCGAAGAGGCGCCUCUUUGGACACUCACAGUGAUACAGAGCGAUGAUGAUAUUGGGGAUCACCAGCCUUUUGCAAAUGAACACCAUGUGCUAGCCCGCUCCCGCAGUCGAGCCAACGUUUUGAGCAAGGUAGAAUACGCCCAGCAGCGCUGGAAGCUUCAAGUCCAAGAGCAGCGGAAGUCUAUCUUUGACCGACCUGUUUGUCCUCAGCUAAUUGGGGUUGAAUUCAAGGUGACUAGAAAGAAACAGGCAGACAACUGGAAAUAAUUGACUGGGUUUUGCUGGGUUUCAUUUUAAUACCCUGUUGAUUUCACCAACUGUUGCUGAAAGAUUCAAAACUGGAAGCAAAAACAUGCUUGAUUUUCUUUUUCUUGUUAAUGUAAUAAUAGAGACAUUUUUAAAAGCACACAGCUCAAAGUC